rnacentral:rRNA from 1 species
GACGAACGCUGGCGGCGUGCCUAAUACAUGCAAGUCGAGCGGACAAAGAGGAGCUUGCUCCUCGAUGUUAGCGGCGGACGGGUGAGUAACACGUGGGCAACCUGCCUGUAAGACUGGGAUAACUUCGGGAAACCGGAGCUAAUACCGGAUAAUGCUUUUGAACUCAUGUUCGACAGCUGAAAGAUGGUUUCGGCUAUCACUUACAGAUGGGCCCGCGGCGCAUUAGCUAGUUGGUGAGGUAACGGCUCACCAAGGCAACGAUGCGUAGCCGACCUGAGAGGGGGCUGGCCCACCCGGGAACGGAAAACGGCCCAAGCCCCCUCGGGGGGGCAGCAGGGGGAAAUUUCCGGAAAGGGACAAAGGUCGGAGGGGGCACCCCCGGGGGAGUGAUGAGGUUUUUGGAUUGGAAAACCUUUUUUUUAGGGGAAAAAAAAGUCCGGGGGAAACUGCGGUUCCUUGGCGGUCCCUAACCAAGAAACCCCCGGUAACCUACG